AGACCCACGCCAACAGUUGCCAGCUCGUCCUCCGGGGAUGGUGGGGACACUGUUGGGACCGCCUCUGCUAAAGAAGAGGAAGGGAAUGGGCAACGGUAGGUCAGCAUGCCCCGAAUUAUCUGGGCUACACGCGGGCUACAAUGGGUGGGACAAUGGGUAUCGACACCGAAAGGUGAAGGCAAUCUCCUAAACCCAUCCGUAGUUCGGAUUGUGGGCUGCAACUCGCCCACAUGAAGCUGGAAUCUGUAGUAAUCGUGUCUCAAAAUGGCACGGUGAAUAUGUCCCUGCUCCUU
rnacentral:rRNA from 1 species